rnacentral:rRNA from 1 species
GUGCAGCAGUCGCGAAUCUUCCACAAUGGACGAAAGUCUGAUGGAGCGACGCCGCGUGCGGGAUGAAGGCCUUAUGGGUUGUAAACCGCUGUCAGGGGGGAAGAACAUCGGAAUGAACAAUACUCAUUCCGACUGACGUUACCCCCAGAGGAAGCUCCGGCCAACUCCGUGCCAGCAGCCGCGGUAAUACGGGGGGAGCAAGCGUUGUCCGGAAUUAUUGGGCGUAAAGGGCGUGGUAGGCGGCGAGGUAAGUCGAAUGUGAAAUCUCACGGCUCAACCGUGAAAACUGACGUUCGAAAACUACCCUGGCUUGGGGUACGGGAGAGGUGUACGGAAUUCCUAGGUGUAGCGGUGGAAUGCGUA